rnacentral:rRNA from 1 species
GGCAAACGGGUGAGUAACACAUUGGUAACUUACCCCGAAGACGUGAAUAACCCCGCGAAAGCGGGGCUAAUACACGAUAAAAAUGGGGGGACGAAAGUCAUUCCCAUUUAAAGUUCCGACGCUUCGGGAAAGGCCUAUGGCUUAUCAGCUAGUUGGUGAGGUAAUAGCUCACCAAGGCAAUGACGAGUAGCGGGUGUGAGAGCACGACCCGCCUCACUGGGACUGAGACACUGCCCAGACUCCUACGGGAGGCUGCAGUCAAGAAUAUUUCGCAAUGCCCGCAAGGUUGACGGAGCGACGCCGCGUGAUCGAUGAAGCCCUUCGGGGUGUAAAGAUCUUUUAUUGGGGACGAACUAAUGACGGUACCCAAAGAAUAAGAGGUUGCUAACUCUGUGCCAGCAGCAGCGGUAAUACAGAGACCUCGAGCGUUAUCCGGAUUUAUUGGGCGUAAAGAGUGCGCAGGCGGCUUUUCAAGUUGGUGGUUAAAACCCAAAGCUCAACUUUGGGCCAGCCACCAAAACUGACAAGCUAGAGAUUGCGAGAGGCAAGCGGAAUUGCCGGUGUAGGGGUAAAAUCCGUUGAUAUCGGCGAGAACACCAAAUGCAUAGGCAGCUUGCUAGAACAUUUCUGACGCUGUACACGAAAGCGUGGGAGCAAAGAGGAUUAGAUACCCUCGUAGUCCACGCUGUAACUUUGGACACUAGGCAUUGUAAGUAUCGACCCUUUCAGUGCCGUUCUAAAUAGCUAACGCGUAAGUGUCCCUGCCUGGGUAGUACCGACCGCAG